GCAGACGGGUGAGUAACACGUGGGAACGUGCCCUUUGGUUCGGAACAACUCCGGGAAACUGGAGCUAAUACCGGAUAAGCCCUUCGGGGGAAAGAUUUAUCGCCAAAGGAUCGGCCCGCGUCUGAUUAGCUUGUUGGUGAGGUAAUGGCUCACCAAGGCGACGAUCAGUAGCUGGUCUGAGAGGAUGAUCAGCCACACUGGGACUGAGACACGGCCCAGACUCCUACGGGAGGCAGCAGUGGGGAAUAUUGGACAAUGGGCGCAAGCCUGAUCCAGCCAUGCCGCGUGAGUGAUGAAGGCCCUAGGGUUGUAAAGCUCUUUCGGCGGGGACGAUAAUGACGGUACCCGCAGAAGAAGCCCCGGCUAACUUCGUGCCAGCAGCCGCGGUAAUACGAAGGGGGCUAGCGUUGCUCGGAAUCACUGGGCGUAAAGGGCGCGUAGGCGGCCAUUCAAGUCAGGGGUGAAAGCCUGUGGCUCAACCACAGAAUUGCCUUUGAUAC
rnacentral:rRNA from 2 species